GAUGAACGCUGGCGGCGUGCCUAAUACAUGCAAGUCGAGCGAACAGACGAGGAGCUUGCUCCUCUGACGUUAGCGGCGGACGGGUGAGUAACACGUGGAUAACCUACCUAUAAGACUGGGAUAACUUCGGGAAACCGGAGCUAAUACCGGAUAAUAUAUUGAACCGCAUGGUUCAAUAGAGAAAGACGGUUUUGCUGUCACUUAUAGAUGGAUCCGCGCCGCAUUAGCUAGUUGGUAUGGUAACGGCUUACCAAGGCAACGAUGCGUAGCCGACCUGAGAGGGUGAUCGGCCACACUGGAACUGAGACACGGUCCAGACUCCUACGGGAGGCAGCAGUAGGGAAUCUUCCGCAAUGGGCGAAAGCCUGACGGAGCAACGCCGCGUGAGUGAUGAAGGUCUUCGGAUCGUAAAACUCUGUUAUUAGGGAAGAACAAAUGUGUAAGUAACUAUGCACGUCUUGACGGUACCUAAUCAGAAAGCCACGGCUAACUACGUG
rnacentral:rRNA from 1 species